ensembl:lncRNA
GGUUGUUGACAUCAAGCUGUACAACGCAGGUCAAGGGGUCAGAAAACAUACUUAAUUCCCAGCUCAAUGUACAGGUACAAGCCAUAAUCAAGGCACAAAAAUCUACAAGUAGAUUUGUUUUUCUUUCAAUAAGUAGUUGUACAAAAUAAAUUACAUUUUACAGUCUGUACAGAUAAAUCAAGACGCCUUGUUCAGUUCAGUACAAGUAUUUUAAGAAAAAACAAUAAUGGACUACAUGUUCUCUCUUGCCCCUCUGCCUCUGUCAAAGAAGAAGUGCCCCCCCUCUGCCCUCUGUCAAAGAAGAAGUCCCCCCCUCCUCUGUCAUAGAUGUGUGUCCCCCCCUCUGUCAUAGAUGUGUCACCCCUCCUCUGUCAUAGAUGUGUGUCCCUCCUCUGUCAUAGAUGUGUCAACCUCCUCUGUCUAGAUGUGCCACCCCUCCUCCUGUCAUAGAUGUGUUCACCCCCCUCCUCUGUCAUAGAUGUGCCACCCCCCUCCUGUCAUAGAUGUGUCACCCGUCCUCUGUCAUAGAUGUGUCACCCCCCCUCCUCUGUCAUAGAUGUGUCACCCCCCUCCUCUGUCAUAGAUGUGCCACCCCCCUCCUGUCAUAGAUGUGUCACCCGUCCUCUGUCAUAGUGUGUCACCCCCCUCCUCUUCAUAGAUGUUCACACCCCUCCUCUGUCAUAGAUGUGUCACCCCCCCUCCGUCAUAGAUGUGCCCCCCCUCUGUCUAUAGAUGUGUCACCCCUCCUCUGUCAUAGUUGUGUUGCCCCCCCUCCUCUGUCAUAGAUGUGUCCACCCCUCUGUCAUAGAUGUGUCACCCCUCCUCUGUCAUAGAUGUGCCCCCCCUCCUCUGUCAUAGAUGUGUCACCCUCCUGUCAUAGAUGUGUCACCCCCCCUCCGUCAUAGAUGUGCCCCCCCCUCCUCUGUCAUAGAUGUGCCCCCCCCCUCCUCUGUCAUAGAUGUGUCACCCCUCUGUCAUAGUUGUGUGCCCCCCUCCUCUGUCAUAGAUGUGUCACCCCUCCUCUGUCAUAGAUGUGUGCCCCCCCUCCUCUGUCAUAGAUGUGUCCCCCCCCUCUUCAUAGAUGUGUCCCCCCUCCUCGUCCUAGAUGGUCCCCCCUCCUCUGUCAUAGAUGUGCCCCCCCAUCUGUUAUAGAAGAUACAGUUGAAGUCUGAAGUUUACAUACACUUGGUUGGAGUCAUUAAAACUCGUUUUCAACCACUCCACAAAUGUCUGUUAACAAACUAUAGCUAUGACAGAGGAGGGGACACACAUCUAUGACAGAGGAGGGGUGACACAUCUAUGACAGAGGAGGGGACACACAUCUAUGACAGAGGAGGGGGGGACUUCUUCUUUGACAGAGGGCAGAGGGGGGCACUUCUUCUUUGACAGAGGGCAGAGGGGCAAGAGAGAACAUGUAGUCAUUAUUGUUUUUUUCUUAAAAUACUUGUACUGAACUGAACAAGGCGUCUUGAUUUAUCCUGUACAGACUGUAAAAUGUAAUAUUAUUUUGUACAACUACUUUAUUGAAAGAAAAACAAAUCUACUUGUAGAUUUUUGUGCCUUGAUUAUGGCUGUACCUGUACAUUGAGCUGGGAAUUAAGUAUGUUUUCUGACCCCUUGACCUGCGUUGUACAGCUUGAUGUCAACAACCCUCUCUAACAACAACACAUGCAGCGGUGACCGACUCUCUGCGGUGUUUUAGAGGCUUUCUCUCUUUACAGGGUUUCUGCUUUAUAAAUAAAAAAAGAAUAGAAGGAAAUGUUGUUUAGUAAAAACAAAACAAGAGGGAUACAAUUCCUAAAACCUGUAUACAUUAUGCAAAUGAACCACUGACCUGCGCUGAGGAAGAUGAGAUGUUGCAGCGAAUGAAAGCCAUGGCCGAGUCACAGAUCACAGCCUAUUCCCUAUAUAGUGCACUACUAUAGACCAGGACCCAUAGGACUCUAAAGUAGUGCCCUGUAUGGGAAGUAGGCUGCCCUAUGGGACCCAAACCAUGCCCCUCUCCCCCUCCACACACAUACAGUUUCUCUCCUUGUUUUAAUGUUUUAGUUUCACAGCUUUAAAGAGAGUAAAAACACAACAGAAACAUUGGAGAUUCAUUGAAAGUGUCCAACAUUGCAACCUGGUGUCGUUGUUUGAAUAGCAACUCUUUUUCAAUAUGAUGAAGUAUGUCUGAGAACCUGUACAUGUAUGAUGUUGUGAGCGUGUGCCUAUAAGGAAGAUAGACCCACAGAGUCACAUUGUGAUGAUGAUGAUGAUGAUGACGAUGACGGAGGAGAGAGAGUGUAUGAGAGGAGAGAGAGUGAGUCACAUUGUGUGUGAUGAUGAUGAUGAUGAUGACGGAAGAGAGCGAGUGUAUGAGAGGAGAGAGAGUGAGUCACAUUGUGUGUGAUGAUGAUGAUGAUGACGGAAGAGAGUCGAGGUGUAUGAGAGGAGAGAGAGUGAGUCACAUUGUGUGUUGAUGAUGAUGAUGAUGAUGACGGAGAAGAUACAUAUAUUUUGACGAGGAGAGAGUGAGUCACAUUGUGUGUGAUGAUGAUGAUGAUGAUGGGAGGAGAGUGAGUCACAUUGUGUGAUGAUUGAUGAAGGAAGAGAGCGAGUGUAUGAGAGGAGAGAGAGUGAGUACCAUUGUGUGUGAUGAUGAUGAUGAUGAUGCGGAGGAGAGAGAGUGAGUCACAUUGUGUGAUGAUGAUGACGGAGAGAGCAGUGUUGAGAGAGAGAAGAGAGUGGUCACAUGGUUGUGAUGAUAUGAGAUGACGGAAGGAGAGAGUGAGUCACAUUGUGUAUGAUAUGACGGAAGAGAGCGAGUGUAUGAGAGGAGAGAGAGUGAGUCACAUUGUGUGUAUGAUGAUGAUGAUGACGGAAGAGAGAGAGUGAGUCACAUUGGUGUGAGAUGAUGACGGAAGGAGCGAGUGUAUGAGAGAGAGGAGAGUGAGUCACAUUGUGUGAUGAUGAUGAUGAUGACGGAAAGAGGAGUGAGUCAUUGUGUGUGAUGAUGAUGAUGAUGACGGAGGAGAGAGAGUGAGUCACAUUGUGUGAUGAUGAUGAUGACGGAAGAGAGCGAGUGUAUGAAGAGAGAGAGAUGAGUCACAUUGGUGUGUGAUGAGAUGAUGAUGACGGAGGAGAAGAGUGAGUCACAUUGUGUGAUGAUGAUGAUGAAAGGAAGAGAGCGAGUGUAUGAGAGGAGAGGAGUGAGUACAUUGGGUGUGAUGAUGCAUGAUGAUGACGGAAGAAGAGAGAGUGAGUCAAAUUGUGUGUGUGAUGAUGAUUGAUGAUGAUGAAGAGAGGAGUGAGUCCAUUGUGUGUGUGGAUGAUGUGAUGACGGAAGAGGAGAGUGUGUCCUAAGUUGUUACCAUUUAUAAUGUAUGUACAUGUAAUUUAGAGGUCUAUAAAUAUAUAUGUACAAAGUAUACAUGUUAAUGUGUUGUGUCGUGUGUGUGUGUGUGUGUGUGGGCGAGUCAGAUAGAGAGAGUGUGUGAGAGAGAGAGUCAGUGUGUGAGAGUGCGAGUAAGAGAGAGAGUGUGAGAGUGUAAGACAGAGAGAUAGAGCGUGUGAGAGGAGAGAGAGUCAUGUGGGUGAGAGGCGAGAAGUGGGUGAGAGGAGAGAGUGGGUGAGAGUGUGUGAGAGGAGAGUGUGUGGGGAGAGAUGUGUGAGAGGGAUAGAGUCGUGUGUGAGAGGCGAGAAAGGGGUGAGUGAGAGAGUGUGUGAGAGGAACGAGUGUGUGAGGGAAGAGUGUGUUGCGGAGAGUUGUGUGAGAGGAGAGUGUGUUGAGAGUGAGAGAGAGAGAGAUGUGAGAGAGAGAGAGAGAGUGGAGAGUAGAGAGAGAGAGGUGAGAGGAGGGGUGUGAGGAGAGGGUGUGCGGAGAGCGAAAGUGUGAGCGGCGCGCGCCGGGUGAGCGGAGAGCGGUUGCGAGGAGCGCGAG